rnacentral:misc_RNA from 1 species
UACGAAGGGGGCUAGCGUUGUUCGGAAUUACUGGGCGUAAAGGGCGCGUAGGCGGUCUGAUAAGUUUGAUGUGAAAGCCCUGGGCUUAACCUAGGAACUGCAUUGGAUACUGUCAGACUAGAGGCCGAGAGAGGGAAAUGGAAUUGCGAGUGUAGAGGUGAAAUUCGUAGAUAUUCGCAAGAACACCGGUGGCGAAGGCGAUUUCCUGACUCGGUACUGACGCUAAGGCGCGAAAGCGUGGGGAGCAAACAGG